CACGUAGGGGGCAAGCGUUGUCCGGAUUUAUUGGGCGUAAAGAGCUCGUAGGUGGUUCGGUAAGUCGGGUGUUAAACCCCCAGGCUCAACCUGGGGACGCCACUCGAUACUGCUGUGACUAGAGUCCGGUAGGGGAGCGUGGAAUUCCUGGUGUAGCGGUGAAAUGCGCAGAUAUCAGGAAGAACACCGACGGCGAAGGCAGCUCGCUGGGACGGUACUGACGCUGAGACGCGAAAGCGUGGGGAGCGAACAGG
rnacentral:rRNA from 1 species